rnacentral:rRNA from 1 species
CAUGGUUUACAUAUGCCUUUACCUAUUCCACACCAACCUUGGGAAGAGAUUAGCAUGGAUUUUGUAAUUGGAUUGCCUAGGACUCAAAAUGGCAAGGACUCCGUAUUUGUUGUUGUGGACCGAUUCUCUAAAAUGGCUCAUUUUAUCCCAUGCAAUAAGAUAGACGGUGCUUCACAUGUUGCCAAUCUCUUUUGUAGGGAAAUCUUGAGGUUACACGGUGUGCCAAAGACAAUUGUGUCCGAUCGAGACGUCAAGUUCUUAAGCUACUUUUGGAAGACGUUAUGCGCCAAGCUCGGAAUCAAGCUACUCUUCUCCACGGCGUACCACCCUCAAACCGAUGGCCAAACGGAAGUCACCAACCGAACGCUUCCAACUCUCCUACGCAUGUUGAUAAAGAAGAACAUCAAGGAGUGGGAGGAGUGCCUACCCAUCACUGAGUACGCCCACAACCGCGCAAGACACUCUACAACCGGCAAGUCC